CAGUUUAAUGGAUCUCAUAGAUCAAAUUAAAGGUUAUUGUACGAGGCGUCUUGAACUGGAAAAAAAUACCUUAAAUUGCAGCUAGCUGCUGCCGUUGCUGUUGAUCCUUGAUCCGUGUUGCGGCCGGACAUUGUCCUGGCCAAAAGGUAAUUCAAUUAAAAUGCAACAAAAAAUCGCCUGAGUGAAAACAAUUUCUUUCAUUGGCCACAUUUGCGGUGAACUGGCGAAGCCACCCGGAGCAGGAUGAUUUUCCCUGUCUUUCAGGACUCCGGGACUUGGGGGAACUGACUUGGGGGAAGUCUGGGGAACUGACAGAGCUGAAAGAGAUUUGUUUGCCCAAGUCAUCAACGGUACUGAAUAGGCCAAACAUGUGUAUGUACACAUGCUUGUGUAUACAAAUUUCGUAAUUAAAUUUUAAGUAAAUAUCAAUUCAAAACUGCAAAUGACAUUUUGUGCACCAAACGCCAUGCGGGUUGGGCUGGGCUGCUCUUUGAAAAUUGAGCAACCAAGAUGCUGGGCGAGCACUGGAGCACUGUAGCACUGGAGCACUGGAGGAGCAGCAACAACAACAACAACUGAAGCAGC